rnacentral:rRNA from 1 species
UAGGGAAUCUUCCACAAUGGACGCAAGUCUGAUGGAGCAACGCCGCGUGAGUGAAGAAGGUCUUCGGAUCGUAAAACUCUGUUGUUAGAGAAGAACACGAGUAAGAGUAACUGUUCAUUCGAUGACGGUAUCUAACCAGCAAGUCACGGCUAACUACGUGCCAG